rnacentral:rRNA from 1 species
AUUAAGCAUAUCAAUAAGCGGAGGAAAAGAAACCAACAGGGAUUGCCUUAGUAACGGCGAGUGAAGCGGCAAAAGCUCAAAUUUGAAAUCUGGCACCUUCGGUGUCCGAGUUGUAAUUUGAAGAAGGUAACUUUGGAGUCAGCUCUUGUCUAUGUUCCUUGGAACAGGACGUCACAGAGGGUGAGAAUCCCGUGCGAUGAGAUGUCUGAUUCUAUGUAAAGUGCUUUCGAAGAGUCGAGUUGUUUGGGAAUGCAGCUCUAAGUGGGUGGUAAAUUCCAUCUAAAGCUAAAUAUUGGCGAGAGACCGAUAGCGAACAAGUACAGUGAUGGAAAGAUGAAAAGAACUUUGAAAAGAGAGUGAAAAAGUACGUGAAAUUGUUGAAAGGGAAGGGUUUGAGAUCAGACUUGGUAUUUUGUAUGUCUUGCUUUCGGGUGGGGCCUCUACAGUUUACUGGGCCAGCAUCGGUUUGGAUGGUAGGAUAAUGACAUUGGAAUGUGGCACCACUUCGGUGGUGUGUUAUAGACUUUGUUGAUACUGCCUGUCUAGACCGAGGACUGCGUCUUUGACUAGGAUGCUGGCAUAAUGAUCCUAAACCGCCCGUCUUGAAAACACGG